CCAAUCUUGCAACCAUACAGUUAACUAGUUCAACGCAAUAACGACCUGCCUCUCUCUCGUUGCACUCCACAAGGAGACUGCCUGUUACGCGAAUGCAGUAAGCCAAGAACUGUGCUGGUAUGUCAUAUGAAGAGCUGAAUGAUGACCUUUAGCACAAUGGGCAGGAGGCCCAAACUAAGAGGUUGGAUGAACUUUUCCCGCAUCUGCAGCCGUCAGUGGUAAAGUGUGACCUGGAGUCUGCCAAUCAUAUUCAUCAAAACAGGAUGUAAACAAGCUCAGCGAAGAAGGAAUGAAGUACUUCCAGGUAAGGCGUUUUAGGAUCAUAUUCCAUCAUUUUAGUAUUGAAAUAAUGCAUAAAAGUUGUGUGUACAUUCUAUGUAAGCAAGCUUUUAAUGCAGUGUAUUCAAGAGUGUGACCGAGGAGAUACAGGAGGUCAGGGAAAGAUGAGUGCCUCCCUCACAUGUUAAAUGCCGACUUCCAGCUGCUGAGGAAUUCACCAGGGUUAGAGCACAAUUUGUUACAUAACGUUAUAGAAUGUAACAUUUUGGUAAUGUUAUGUUUGUUUGCUAUUAGUAAAAGUAAGUUAAUGGUAGGCCGUGGUACCAGUAGUAUGUAAUGUAAUUCUAUGUCAGAAUGCUAUUUUCUCUGGAGGCCGACAUGUUAAAUACAUUGUCACGUCACUUUUUAUUCUUCAAGGUUCUCUGGAUGUACAGUUGAAGUCGGAAAUUUACAUACACCUUAGCGAAAUACAUUUAAACUCAGUUUUUCACAAUUCCUGACAUUUAAUCCUAGUAAACAUUCCCUCAUUUAAUCCUUCCCUAACAUUCCCUCAGUUAGGAUCACCACUUUAUUUAAAGAAUGUGAAAUGUCAGAAUAAUAGUAGAGAGAAUGAUUUAUUUCAGCUUUUAUUUCUUUCAUCACAUUCCCAGUGGGUCAGAAGUUUACAUACACUCAAUUUGUAUUUGGCAGCAUCGCCUUUAAAUUGUUUAACCUGGGUCAAGCAUUUCGUGUAGACUUCCACAAGCUUCCCACAAUAAGUUGUGUGAAUUUUGUCCCAUUCCUCCUGACAGAGCUGGUGUAACUGAGUCAAGUUUGUAGGCCUCCUUGCUCGCACAUACUUUUUCAGUUCUGCACACACAUUUUCUAUGGGAUUGAGGUCAGGGCCUUGUGAUGGCCACUCCAAUACCUGGACUUUGUUGUCCAUAAGCCAUUUUGCCACAACUUUGGAAGUAUGCUUGGGGUCAUUGUCCAUUUGGAAGACCCAUUUGCGACCAAGCUUUAACUGAUGUCUUGAGAUGUUGCUUCAAAAUAUCCACAUCGUUUUCCUACCUCAUGAUCUCAUCUAUUUUGUGAAGUGCACCACUCCCUCCUGCAGCAAUGCACCCCCACAACAUGAUGCUGCCACCCCAGUGCUUCAUGGUUGGGAUGGUGUUCUUCGGCUUGCAAGCCUCCCCCUUUUUCCUCCAAACAUAACGAUGGUCAUUAUGGCCAAACAUUUCCAUUUUUGUUUCAUCAGACCAGAGGCCCAGUGCACAACUGAGCAAGAGGACAAGUACAUUCGAGUGUCUAGUUUGAGAAACAGAAGCCUCACAAGUCCUCAACUGGCUGCUUCAUUAAAUUGUACCUGCAAAACACCAGUCUCAACGUCAACAGUUAUUUUUUUAUUUCACCUUUAUUUAACCAGGUAGGCUAGUUGAGAACAAGUUCUCAUUUGCAACUGCGACCUGGCCAAGAUAAAGCAUAGCAAUUCAACACAUACAAUAACACAAAGUUACACAUGGAAUAAACAAAACAUAGUCAAUAAUACAGUAGAACAAAAGAAAACAAAACGUCUAUAUAUAGUGAGUGCAAAUGAGGUGAGAUAAGAUAAGCAAUAAAUAGGCCAUGGUGACGAGGUAAUUACAAUAUAGCAAUCAAACACUGGAAUGGUAGAUGUGCAGAAGAUGAAUGUGCAAGUAGAGAUACUGGGGUGCAAAGGAGCAAGAUAAAUAAAUAAAUACAGUAUGGGGAGGAGGUAGGUAGCUAGAUGGGCUGUUUACAGAUGGGCUAUGUACAGGUGCUGUGAUCUGUGAGCUGCUCUGACAGCUGUUGCUUAAAGCUAGUGUGGGAGAUAUGAGUCUCCAGAUUCCGAGAUUUUUGCAGUUCGUUCCAGUCAUCGGCAGCAGCGAACUGGAAGGAUAGACAACCAAAGGAGGAAUUGGCUUUGGGGGUGACCAGUGAGAUGUACCUGCUGGAGCGCUUGCUAUGAGUGGGUGCUGUUAUGGUGACCAGUGAGCCGAGAUAAGGCGGGGCUUUACCUAGCAGAGACUUGUAGAUAACGUGUAGCCAGUGGGUUUGGCGACGAGUAUGAAGCGAGGGCCAACCAAUGAGAGCGUACAGGUCACAAUGGUGGUGUCACCUUCUGACCUUAGUUCCUUUUUUAUGUCUUUGUGUUAAGUUGGUCAGGGCGUGAGUUGGGGUGGGUAGUCUAUGUUCUUUUUUCUAUGUAGUUAUAUUUCUAUGUGUUUGGCCUAGUAAGGUUCUCAAUCAGAGGCAGGUGUCGUUCGUAGUCUCUGAUUGAGAAUCAUACUUAGGUAACCUGUUUUCCCCAUUUUGGAUGUGGGUGUUUAAUUUCUGUUUAGUGUCUGUUCACCUGGCAGAACUGUUUCGUUUUCGCUUCAUUGUUAUUUUGUGUAGUGUUCAGUUCUUCAAUUAAAAUAUGAUGAACACUUACCAUGCUGCAUUUUGGUCCUCCUCUCCUUCCACCAACGAGAAUCGUUACAGGUGGGUAGUGUAUGGGGCUUUGGUGACAAAACGGAUGGCACUGUGAUAGACUGCAUCCAGUUUGUUGAGUAGAGUGUUGGAGGCUAUUUUACAGAUUACAUCACCGACAUGGAGGAUCGGUAGGAUGGUCAGUUUUACGAGGGUAUGUUUGGCAGCAUGAGUGAAGGAUGCUUUGUUGCAAUAUAGGAAGCCAAUUCUAGAUUUAAUUUUGGAUUGGAGAUGCUUAAUGUGAGUCUGGAAGGAGAUUUUACAGUCUAACCAGACACCUAGGUAUUUGUAGUUGUCCACGUAUUCUAAGUCCGAGCCGUCCAGAGUAGUGAUGCUGGACGGACGAGCAGGUGCGGUCAGUGAUUGGUUGAAUAGCAUGCAUUUAGUUUUACUUGCGUUUAAGAGCAGUUGGAGGCCACGGAAGGAGAGUUGUAUGGCAUUGAAGCUUGUCUGGAGGUUAGUUAAGAGUCCAAAGAGGGGCCAGAAGUAUACAGAAUGGUGUCGGCUGCGUAGAGGUGUAUCAGAGCAUCACCAGCAGCAAGAACAACAUCAUUGAUGUCUACAGAGAAGAGAGUUGGCCCAAGGUUGAACCCUGUGGCACCCCAUAGAGACUGCCAGAGGUCCGGACAACAGGUCCUCCGAUUUUGAGACACUAAACAGUGAAGAGGCAACUCCGGGAUGCUGGCCUUCUAGGCAGAGUUCUUCUGUCCUGUGUCUGUGCCCAUCUUAAUAUUUUAUUUUUAUUGGCCAGUCUGAGAUAUAGAUUUUUCUGUGAAACUCUGCCUAGAAGGCCAGCGUCCCGGAGUCGCCUCUUCACUAUUGAAGUUGAGACUGGUGUUUUGCGGGUACUAUUUAAUGAAGCUGCCAGUUGAGGACUUGUGAGGUGUCUGUUUCCAGCUACUAUAGUCAUUUACAACAUUAACAAGGUCUAUGCUGUAUUUCUGAUCAAUUUGAUGAUAUUUUAAUGGACCAUUUUUAUUUAUUUAUUAAUAUUUUAUUUUUUUCAAAAACAAGGAGAUUUCAUGACCCAAAACUUUUGAACGGUGGUGUCUGUGUGUGGAUAUUCCUGGAAGGUACGGCUUGUUUCAAUUUGAGACCUGUAAGGGCCCAGGUCCCAGUUCCAUGUGAAGGCUGGGGCUUUGGAGAACAUGAACAGAUAGAAGAGACAUCAUCCACAAUUUUGAGCAGAGCACAAGCUCCAAGAUGCUAACUGGGGCUGGAGGGAGUGUUAUCCAGUUGACCACAAAGAAGUCUCCCUCAAUCUUCCAGCCAUUGGUGGAGAUGUCUGGCUGGCUUUGCAGGCUUCUACUGUAGGCUUCUCCUGCUUGGUAGUUUGUCCAUUGGAUGUGUUUAUGCGAGGAGUCUUUGUUUGGUUGUAGUCUUCUGUCUGAGCAUAAGGAAGUGGAUGGCUGCAAACUUUCUACUUUUAAACUCGGACAAAACAGAGAUUCUUGUUCUAGGUCCCAAGAAACAAAGAGAUCUUCUGUUGAAUCUGACAAUUAAUUUUAAUGGUUGUACAGUCAUCUCAAAUAAAACUGUGAAGGACCUCGGCAUUACUCUGGACCCUGAUCUCUCUUUUGACGAACAUAUCAAGACUGUUUCAAGGACAGCUUUUUUCCAUCUACGUAACAUUGCAAAAAUCAGAAACUUUCUGUCCAAAAAUGAUGCAGAAAAAUUAAUCCAUGCUUUUGUUACUUCUUGGUUAAAAAAAUGUCUGUCUCUCGAUGUGCAAAACUGAUAGAGACAUACCCCAAGCAACUUACAGCUGUAAUCGCAGCAAAAGGUAGCGCUACAAAGUAUUAACUUAAGGGUGCUGAAUAAUUUUGCACGCCCAAUUUUUCAGUUUUUGAUUUGUUAAAAAAGUUUGAAAUAUCCAAUAAAUGU